ensembl:lncRNA
UAACAACCUGACCCCAUAACAAAGCACCCUGACCCCAUAACAACCUGACCCCAUAACACCCCUGACACCAAAGCACCCCCUGACCCUAAAACCAUCCUGAUCCCAUAAGACCCCCUGACCCCUAAACAGCCCUGACCCCAAAGCAACCCCCAACCCCACAGCCCUGACCCCAAAACUCCCCUGACCCCCAAACCACCCCGACCCCAAAGCCCCCCACCCCAUAGCCCCUGUUUGUGGGGAACUUGUGGGGUCAGGACCAUCUAUGGGGUCAGUCCUGUCUGUGGGGUCAGCCCUGGCUGUGGGGUCUAUGGGGAAGUUGUGGGGCCAGCCCUAUUUAUGGGGUCAGUGCCAUCUAUGGGGUCAGCCCUAUAUAUAGGGUCAGCCCCAUCUAUGGGGUUAGCCCUGUCUAUGGGGUCAGCCCUAUUUAUAGGGUCAGUGCCAUCUAUGGGGUCAGCCCUAUCUAUAGGGUCAGCCCCAUCUAUGGGGUCAGUCCUGUCUAUGGGGUCAACCCGUUUGUGGGGUCAGCCCUAUAUAUGGGGUCUAUGGGGCAGUUGUGGGGUCAGCCUCAUCUAUGGGGUCAGGCCCUGUUUGUGGAGUCAGCCUUGGCUGUGGGGUCUAUGGGGUCAACCUCAUCUAUGGGGUCAGCCCAUGUCUAUGGGGUCAGCCCUGUUUGUGGGGUCAGCUCCAUCUAUGGGGUCAGCCCUGGCUGUGGGGUCUAUGGGGUCAGCCCUGUUUAUGGGGUCAGCCCUGGCUGUGGGGUCUAUGGGGUCAGCCCUGUUUAUGGGGUCAGCCCAUCUCUGUGGUGUCUAUGGGGUCAGCCCCAUCUAUGGGGUCAGCCCAUGUCUAUGGGGUCAGCCCUAUUUAUGGGGUCUGUGGGGUCAGGCCUGUCUAUGGGGUCAGCCCCAUUUAUGGGGUCAGCCCUGUCUGUGGGGUCUGUGGGGUCAGCCCUGUCUAUGGGGUCAUUCCUGUCUGUGGGAUCUAUGGGGUCAUCCCUGUCUGUGGGGUCUAUGGGGUCAGCCCUAUUUAUGGGGUCUGUGGGGCAGUUGUAGGGUCAGGCCUGUUUGUGGGGUCAGCCCCGUCUAUGGGGUCAGCCCU